UACGUAGGUGACAAGCGUUAUCCGGAUUUAUUGGGCGUAAAGCGCACGCAGGCGGCUCUUCAAGUCUGACGUGAAAUCUCUCGGCUUAACCGGGAGCGGUCGUUGGAAACUGAAGGGCUUGAGGCGAUGAGAGGGGUGUGGAAUUCCCGGUGUAGUGGUGGAAUGCGUAGAUAUCGGGAGGAACAUCAGUGGCGAAAGCGGCACCCUGGCAUUAGCCUGACGCUCAUGUGGCGAAAGCGUGGGGAGCGAACGGG
rnacentral:rRNA from 1 species